GUAUUACUCCCUCCGGCGAACAAAAAAUGUCUCAAAUUUGGUAAAGUUUGGAUGUAUCUAGACAUGACAUAAUAUAUAGAUGCAUUUAAAUUUAUUCAAAGUUGAGACAUUCUUUGUUGGAAGGAGGAACUAUAUG
rnacentral:pre_miRNA from 1 species